CGAGAACGGGAUUGCUUGCAAUCCUUAGUAGAGUGGCGCACGGGUGAGUAACACGUAGAUAAUCUACCUUCAAGCCUGGGAUAACUGUUCGAAAGGGCAGCUAAUACCGGAUGAAGUGAUUUUGCAUAAGUCAGAUCAUGAAAGAUUGCCUCUUCUUGAAAGCAAUUGUUUGAAGAUGAGUCUGCGGACCAUUAGUUAGUUGGUGGGGUAAAGGCCUACCAAGACUAGGAUGGUUAGCUGGUCUGAGAGGAUGAUCAGCCACACUGGAACUGGAACACGGUCCAGACUCCUACGGGAGGCAGCAGUGAGGAAUUUUGCGCAAUGGGGGAAACCCUGACGCAGCAACGCCGCGUGAGUGAAGAAGGCCCUUGGGUCGUAAAGCUCUGUCGACAGGGAAGAAAUUACAAUGUAUUAAUAGUAUAUUGUAUUGACGGUACCUGUAGAGGAAGCACCGGCUAACUCCGUGCCAGCAGCCGCGGUAAUACGGGGGGUGCAAGCGUUAUUCGGAAUUAUUGGGCGUAAAGGGCGCGUAGGCGGUCUUGUCGGUCAGAUGUGAAAGCCCGGGGCUCAACCCUGGAAGUGCAUUUGAAACAGCAAGACUUGAAUACUGGAGAGGAGAGCGGAAUUCCUGGUGUAGAGGUGAAAUUGGUAGAUAUCAGGAGGAACACCGAUGGCGAAGGCAGCUCUCUGGACAGAUAUUGACGCUGAGGCGAGAAGGUGUGGGUAGAGAACAGGAUUAGAUACCCUGGUAGUCCACACAGUAAACGUUGUUCACUCGGUGUACCGGAUAUUAAAAUCUGGUGUGCCCCAGCUAACGUGGUAAGUGAACCGCGUGGGGAGUACGGUCGCAAGACUAAAACUCAAAGGAAUUGACGGGGGCCCGCACAAGCGGUGGAGCAUGUGGUUUAAUUCGACGCAACGAGAAGAACCUUACCUGGAUUUGACAUCCUGUGAAUCAUUCAGAGAUGAGAGAGUGCCUUCGGGAACACAGUGACAGGUGUUGCAUGGCU
rnacentral:rRNA from 1 species